rnacentral:pre_miRNA from 1 species
CGGUAAACUGCAAGAAGAGAAAGUUAUAGCUGUAAUAGUUAACUUGUUUAGAAAACAAUGAGAGCACUUUUACAGCUAUAUCUUUUCCUUCUAGCUUUUUUACUG